UGUGGGAGCGGGCUUGCCCGCGAUGGCGGUGUGUCAGUCACAGUGAUGUUGGAUGUGCUGCCGUCAUCGCGGGCAAGCCCGCUCCCACA
rnacentral:misc_RNA from 1 species